rnacentral:rRNA from 1 species
GGAAUAUUGGUCAAUGGCCGAGAGGCUGAACCAGCCAUGCCGCGUGCGGGAGGACGGCCCUAUGGGUUGUAAACCGCUUUUGUUGGGGAGCAAUAAGGGUCACGCGUGACCUGAUGAGAGUACCCAGCGAAUAAGCAUCGGCUAACUCCGUGCCAGCAGCCGCGGUAAUACGGAGGAUGCGAGCGUUAUCCGGAUUUAUUGGGUUUAAAGGGUGCGUAGGCGGGUUCUUAAGCGUGAGGUGAAAUGCCACGGCUCAACCGUGGAACUGCCUCGCGAACUGGGAGUCUGGAAUGCCCCUGCCGUGGGAGGAAUGUGUGGUGUAGCGGUGAAAUGCAUAGAGAUCACACAGAACACCGAUUGCGAAGGCAUCUCACGAAGGGGUGAUUGACGCUGAGGCACGAAAGCGUGGGGAUCAAACA